GAUUAAGUUAUUAAGGGCGCACGGUGGAUGCCUUGGCACUAGAAGCCGAUGAAGGACGUUACUAACGACGAUAUGCUUUGGGGAGCUGUAAGUAAGCUUUGAUCCAGAGAUUUCCGAAUGGGGAAACCCAGCAUGAGUUAUGUCAUGUUAUCGAUAUGUGAAUACAUAGCAUAUCAGAAGGCACACCCGGAGAACUGAAACAUCUUAGUACCCGGAGGAAGAGAAAGAAAAUUCGAUUCCCUUAGUAGCGGCGAGCGAAACGGGAAGAGCCCAAACCAACAAGCUUGCUUGUUGGGGUUGUAGGACACUCUAUACGGAGUUAUAAAGGACGACAUUAGACGAAUCAUCUGGAAAGAUGAAUCAAAGAAGGUAAUAAUCCUGUAGUCGAAAAUGUUGUCUCUCUUGAGUGGAUCCUGAGUACGACGGAGCACGUGAAAUUCCGUCGGAAUCUGGGAGGACCAUCUCCUAAGGCUAAAUACUCUCUAGUGACCGAUAGUGAACCAGUACCGUGAGGGAAAGGUGAAAAGCACCCCGGAAGGGGAGUGAAAUAGAACCUGAAACCGUGUGCUUACAAGUAGUCAGAGCCCGUUAAUGGGUGAUGGCGUGCCUUUUGUAGAAUGAACCGGCGAGUUACGAUUUGAUGCAAGGUUAAGCAGUAAAUGUGGAGCCGUAGCGAAAGCGAGUCUGAAUAGGGCGUUUAGUAUUUGGUCGUAGACCCGAAACCAGGUGAUCUACCCUUGGUCAGGUUGAAGUUCAGGUAACACUGAAUGGAGGACCGAACCGACUUACGUUGAAAAGUGAGCGGAUGAACUGAGGGUAGCGGAGAAAUUCCAAUCGAACCUGGAGAUAGCUGGUUCUCUCCGAAAUAGCUUUAGGGCUAGCCUCAAGUGAUGAUUAUUGGAGGUAGAGCACUGUUUGGACGAGGGGCCCCUCUCGGGUUACCGAAUUCAGACAAACUCCGAAUGCCAAUUAAUUUAACUUGGGAGUCAGAACAUGGGUGAUAAGGUCCGUGUUCGAAAGGGAAACAGCCCAGACCACCAGCUAAGGUCCCAAAAUAUAUGUUAAGUGGAAAAGGAUGUGGCGUUGCCCAGACAACUAGGAUGUUGGCUUAGAAGCAGCCAUCAUUUAAAGAGUGCGUAAUAGCUCACUAGUCGAGUGACACUGCGCCGAAAAUGUACCGGGGCUAAACAUAUUACCGAAGCUGUGGAUUGUCCUUUGGACAAUGGUAGGAGAGCGUUCUAAGGGCGUUGAAGCAUGAUCGUAAGGACAUGUGGAGCGCUUAGAAGUGAGAAUGCCGGUGUGAGUAGCGAAAGACGGGUGAGAAUCCCGUCCACCGAUUGACUAAGGUUUCCAGAGGAAGGCUCGUCCGCUCUGGGUUAGUCGGGUCCUAAGCUGAGGCCGACAGGCGUAGGCGAUGGAUAACAGGUUGAUAUUCCUGUACCACCUAUAAUCGUUUUAAUCGAUGGGGGGACGCAGUAGGAUAGGCGAAGCGUGCGAUUGGAUUGCACGUCUAAGCAGUAAGGCUGAGUAUUAGGCAAAUCCGGUACUCGUUAAGGCUGAGCUGUGAUGGGGAGAAGACAUUGUGUCUUCGAGUCGUUGAUUUCACACUGCCGAGAAAAGCCUCUAGAUAGAAAAUAGGUGCCCGUACCGCAAACCGACACAGGUAGUCAAGAUGAGAAUUCUAAGGUGAGCGAGCGAACUCUCGUUAAGGAACUCGGCAAAAUGACCCCGUAACUUCGGGAGAAGGGGUGCUCUUUAGGGUUAACGCCCAGAAGAGCCGCAGUGAAUAGGCCCAAGCGACUGUUUAUCAAAAACACAGGUCUCUGCUAAACCGUAAGGUGAUGUAUAGGGGCUGACGCCUGCCCGGUGCUGGAAGGUUAAGAGGAGUGGUUAGCUUCUGCGAAGCUACGAAUCGAAGCCCCAGUAAACGGCGGCCGUAACUAUAACGGUCCUAAGGUAGCGAAAUUCCUUGUCGGGUAAGUUCCGACCCGCACGAAAGGCGUAACGAUUUGGGCACUGUCUCAACGAGAGACUCGGUGAAAUCAUAGUACCUGUGAAGAUGCAGGUUACCCGCGACAGGACGGAAAGACCCCGUGGAGCUUUACUGUAGCCUGAUAUUGAAAUUCGGCACAGCUUGUACAGGAUAGGUAGGAGCCUUUGAAACGUGAGCGCUAGCUUACGUGGAGGCGCUGGUGGGAUACUACCCUAGCUGUGUUGGCUUUCUAACCCGCACCACUUAUCGUGGUGGGAGACAGUGUCAGGCGGGCAGUUUGACUGGGGCGGUCGCCUCCUAAAAGGUAACGGAGGCGCUCAAAGGUUCCCUCAGAAUGGUUGGAAAUCAUUCAUAGAGUGUAAAGGCAUAAGGGAGCUUGACUGCGAGACCUACAAGUCGAGCAGGGUCGAAAGACGGACUUAGUGAUCCGGUGGUUCCGCAUGGAAGGGCCAUCGCUCAACGGAUAAAAGCUACCCCGGGGAUAACAGGCUUAUCUCCCCCAAGAGUUCACAUCGACGGGGAGGUUUGGCACCUCGAUGUCGGCUCAUCGCAUCCUGGGGCUGUAGUCGGUCCCAAGGGUUGGGCUGUUCGCCCAUUAAAGCGGUACGCGAGCUGGGUUCAGAACGUCGUGAGACAGUUCGGUCCCUAUCCGUCGUGGGCGUAGGAAAUUUGAGAGGAGCUGUCCUUAGUACGAGAGGACCGGGAUGGACAUACCUCUGGUGUACCAGUUGUCGUGCCAACGGCAUAGCUGGGUAGCUAUGUGUGGACGGGAUAAGUGCUGAAAGCAUCUAAGCAUGAAGCCCCCCUCAAGAUGAGAUUUCCCAACUUCGGUUAUAAGAUCCCUCAAAGAUGAUGAGGUUAAUAGGUUCGAGGUGGAAGCAUGGUGACAUGUGGAGCUGACGAAUACUAAUCGAUCGAAGACUUAAUCAA
rnacentral:rRNA from 1 species